UAGAAGUCACAGUGUGAAAUUAUUAGGAAAGAAGAAAGCCCAUCUGAGAUGAAUUCAGCUCGAUAAAGAUUGGAUUAGCCUCUGCUAUAUGGCCAUUCUUAGGGAGAUACCAGGAUGAAAUGAGACUUAGCUGCUUGCACACAAGCUCCCAGAAUGUCCUGUCAACAUGAUUUGAAUUUCAUUAAACCAGAAAUAUCCAAAACAUGAGACUGUAUCAUGAAAACGAGGAGCACAGUCAAGAGGGCUAUGUCUUUACUGGCAUUUAAAACACCAUGCUUUGCCCUUGAGUUAGUGACUCAGAAGGAAUGACCUCGAGUGGCCUAGUGUC
rnacentral:lncRNA from 1 species